GGGGAUAUAGCUCAGUUGGUAGAGUGUUGUCUCACAUGCACAAGGUCCUGGGUUCAAUCCCCAGCACCA
rnacentral:tRNA from 1 species